rnacentral:sRNA from 1 species
GCUGGGCAUGGUGAUGCAUGCCUGUAAUCCCAUUGGCUUGGGAGGUUGAGGCAGGAGGAUAGUAAGUUCAAAGCAAGCCUCAGCAGCAGAGAGGUGCUAAGCAACUCAGUGAGAAUCUGUCUUUA